rnacentral:lncRNA from 1 species
GUGCUUUGUGUGAUGAGAGAGAAGUCAGGGGCCCACUAUGGACGUGACGCUAAAGGAGUCUCACACAGUAAAUACUAAGCCUAGGGUUCAGUUCUGGGGACAUGGCAAAGAACAAAAUGACUUGGUCUUUUUUUCCACAGGAAUUUCUGGAGUGGAAAUCAGAGAGAGAAAGGGAAAUCUUGAUUUAGAGAAAGUCUUAGCUGGAUACAAGAGAAGAAACCCUGUAAAUCUUAAACUGGAUGCUGCCUCGGUGAUAUAUUAAUCAUUUGACUCUCUGCUGUGACAAAAUUCCCAACAAAAGCUACUUAGGAAAGGGAGAUGUGAUUCUGGAUCUUAGUUUGAGGCUGUUGUCUGUGUGGUGAGGAAGACGCUACAGCAAAGGAGAGCUCGCUCUGUGGCAACAGUUUGAGGCAACUGGGCACGCAGGAUCCUCAGCCGGGAUGUGAGAGUGAUGAGCUAGUCUUAGCUUUAUCCAGUUCCCUUUCUAUUCAGUGUGCCACCCCAGCCAAUGAAGUAGAGCGGUUUACAGUUAGCCUUCAGGGUGGGUCUCCCUCUUCAGUUAACCUUCCCUGGACACACCCACAGGUUUGCCUCCUACUUGAUUCCAAAUCCUGUCAGGUUGACAAUGAAGAUUAACCAAUACAGAAGUAAGUUUGGAGGAGGAGGAAGACAAAGAACUUGCAGCAUUUCAGUUUGCUCUUCUAAAACACAAUAGGCUCUCAUGCAAAAUGACCUCUAUCUUUGGCCACAGGGUAAAACCAAAAACCAUUUAGUACAAAUAGAAAAUGCUUCGAACCCUACAGAUCUUGCGCUCUCUUCCACACCAGAUCUGUAUCCUAACUUUCCAAGCUCCUAGCCCAUGUCAUUUCUUGAGUCUUGUCAGCUCAAAAUUCUGAUCAUGCCUGUCUUCUCCCCACCCCACCCCCUGAAGCUGGAGAGGGUCCAGAGGGCUAACAAGCUGGAACUUUUAAAGGCCAGAUGGGAAAUGGCUUUGUACCACUGCAACAGGAAUGUAGCCACAGGCAACACAUGAAUGAACAAGUAUGUCUGCUCUCUAACAAAACCUGAUUUACAAAAGUAGGCAAGGGGGCAGUGUGCAUGGCUCACUUGAUAAGUUGUUUGCCCUGCAAGCAGGAAACCCAACUUCAGUCUCCAGUAUCCAUUUAAAAAGCCAGAUGUGGGAGGUGAAGGCCAACAGGAAAGUGACGACAUAAAAAGACACUUGAAAGACACUUGAUAUUGACAUCUGCCCUCCACAAUCACACUCACCUGCACAAACACAUGCUCAUGCAGGAACACACACACACAUACACACACACACACACACACACACACACACAAACACGUCAUUUUUGGAGUGGGACAAGAGUCCUGUUCUGGAAUGAGGCUCAGUGCUGGCCAGACCUCUGCUGAGUGCUACCCAUUCACUCUUCAUAGGAAUCGUUCCAGGAUUCCUAGAAAGCCCAGCUGUAUAGCAAUUCGUUAAGAUCUGGGUUUUCCAGAUCAAUUCUUUGGCAAUGUGGUGCUUCGGAACCGACGGGGCCUAGAUGUCCUGACAGCUAAAGAAGGUGGUCUUUGCCUGUUCCUCCAAGAAGAAUGCUGCUUCUAUGUCAACCAAUCCAGGAUAGUGAGAAAUAAAAUCCAGGAACUACAGUCAGACAUAAAGAAUUUCAGGGAGACCUCCAGUUCUGAGAUUUUUGGAGCAGCUGGUCACAUUACAUCCACAGUCAAGGACAGAGAGAAAUGAACUGAGGCACACACACUCUUACAGCCCACUUCCUCCAUCCUACACAGACUAGGAUCAAAGCUGGGGAAUAGUGCUGCAUGCAGCUGGCUAGAUCUCCCCACACCAAUUACUGUAAUCAAGACAGUCCUCCCCAGACAUGUCCACAGGCCAACCUGGUCCAGACAAUCCCUCAUUAUGACUCUCUUCCUAGGUGACUGUAGAUUAGGUCAAGUUGACAGUUAAAACUAUUACUUACCUCAUGUAAAUUUACGUCAUUAACCAAAAAACCAGGACACAUGAACCUGAUGUAUUUUUCCCAACCAGUGGCCCAAAAGUCUUCAACACAGAAGUAAUCGUCAUCCUGUGUUUGGGGUAUCCUGAAUACCAACCGCUCCAUGCUCAUCUGUUCCUGAAUACCGCUCCACGCACAUCUGUUCCUGAAUACCGCUCCACGCACAUCUGUGGUUGUUAUGGUUUGAAGGUUCAUAUACUGAGUGCUUGAUUGGUUUCCAGAUAGAGACACUCUUCUGGGGGGUUCUAGAUGUGGCACCUAGCUGUCAGAAGCAGGCCCCAAGGGGCAUGACUUUAUAGGUCAUUAUGGGUCCCUCUGUUUCCUAUUUACCUAAAGCCAUGCUGUUAAGAAGCUUCGUGGGCCUGAAGAGGUGGCUCAGUGGUUAGGAGCUUGUACUUCAGAGGAACCAAGUUCAGUUCCUGGGACCUACAGCAUGUGACUCAAAACUACCUAUUACUUCAGUUCCAGAGGCUCCAAGACCCUCUUCUUUCCUCUGAGGGAUCCUGAACAUAUAUGUGCACACACAUCCAUACACAUAAAUAAUAAAACAAGUAUUUUAGAAAAUUACCUCUUGAGCUUUGCCACAGGCCCAGAAUCAAUUCAACCAAGAACUAUGAGCUGAAGCCACUCAAUGAUGGUCUUUCCUCCUCCUUCCCAGAUGUCCAUGACACAGCAACUAUAAAAGUUACUAAUAUCCACUGCCAAAUGGUCAUCCCUGAGAACAUAUACAUACUAGUAACAUAUGUGGACUUAGCAGGUUGUAUUUAUGUAUUUAGGGAGACACACAAACACACCUAACAGAGAGAGAGGAAAGGAGAGGUACAUGUGAGGACUUGGAGGUCAGGGAAGGGGAACUGAUGUAAAUAAAUAUAAAAGGCAGUUAAUGUGACCCAUGUUGCCGCAUGUACAGGACCUGCAUGCUUGCUCUGCUCUGUCAAUCCACUGCAUGGAGUCACCUCAGCCACUUGCCCACUUGUUCAUGACCAGCUAUUACUAAUGAUGCUGUGUAUACAAGCCUGUAUGGAAAUCUUUCUUGAAUAGAUAACAGUGAGUUUUCUGGGUUAUAUGCUAAGCAUACAUUUACAUUUUAAAAAAAUUCAUCAAGCCAUAUAACUCUAUAUUCUCACUAGCAACAUAUGGAGAUACUAAUCACUCCACACACUCACUAAUGCUGAGUAUCUCUAAUCAAUUACAGCCAUGCUAGCCGGUGAGUGCGGGUAUCUAAUCAAUUACAGCCAUGCUAGUCGGUGAGUGCGGGUAUCUAAUCAAUUACAGCCAUGCUAGUCGGUGAGUGCGGGUAUCUUGGUUUUGGUUUGCAUCUCUAGAAUGGCUAAUCACAAUCAGCUUCUUUUUCAGUACCUGUUAGUCAUCUGUAUACCACUGAUCAAUUUUUUCUUAAGUGUCUGACAAUUGUAACAAUGGGUUAUUCAUUCUCAUGAUAUUUUUCCUACUUUUUUUUCAAUUUUAAGAGAAUACACCAUAUAAAACUUGCCAAUAGGCAUUUCUAGAUGUACUGUUCUGUGUCCUUAGAGAAGUCCACAUUGUGACUGGCUCUCACAGACACCCAUCACUAGAAGCCCCCCACCCUCGUCAUCACCAAACGGAACCCAUUAUCUCCUCCUUAUGUUACAACAGCCCAAACAUUUAAAUAAACAUGCAUCAGAGGUAUACAGAUGACAAGCAAGUACCAGCAAAGAGACUGGACUUGGAGAGAUGGCUCAGUGGCUAAGAGCACUUGGCUGCUCUAGCAAAGAACCUGAAAUUAGUUCCUAGCACCCACAUGGCAGCUCACAACCACCUGCAAAUCUACUCCAGGGGAUCUGAUCCAUGUUCUGGCCUCCACCAGCGCUGGGCAUAAGAAUGGUGCACAUGUACACAUGCAAGCAGUCACUCAUACACAUAAAAUGAAAAUCAAUCUUUACAAUAGAUGUUGGUCUGGAGUACUUUUUCUUAUGAUGUCUUUUUCUGAUCCUAGGUUAUUACUGUAAUCAAAAAAAUAAGUGGAAGCUGAUCCUAUGACAUUUUUUUAAAGAUUGUGGGUAGGACUGAUACUUUUUUAAGUAUAAAAAUGUACUAAUAAGGCCAUAGGGACCUUUGCAGGUCUUUUUUUUUUAACUAUUGUUUGGUUAGUUAUUUUGUUGUUGUUUUGGUUGGUUUUUCUUUGUUUGAGGAUUUUUAAAUAUCUAAUUCAAUGUCUUUAUUUUUAAUUUUAUUAAGGUUAAUUUUUUUACUAUUUUGUUUGUUUUAGCAAUGUAUCUGUUUAAAAAUUUGCCCAUUUCCUAUUCUAAAUCACCUCUUUGCUCACAUAAAGUUGUCUGUUUCCUCACAAGACUUCUGUUUUCAAUUGGCUCUCAGCUCACUAUUUUGAAUCUUCUACUUUCCCCUUUGUCAUUUACCUAACAUUUUAUAUAUUUUGUGGCUCGUUUUGAAAAGUCAAUUUUUUAUUUUAUUGGUUUCUCCUGUUCUUCUUCUCCUUUUGUUAGUUUCGACACCAUCCUUUAUUGUUUCCUCCAUUCUAUUUAGUUUAUGUUUGAAUUGGUCCCUUUUUUCUUAUCCACUUUAUACUGUUGAUUUUAGAUUUUUAGUAAAAGUGUUCAAAACUAUAAAUUAUCCUUUCUGCCAACUUGAGCUGCAACCCUAAUUUUCCUGUUUUCUGUUGCCAUUUGGCUCAGUCAAGGUGUUUUCCAGCGCCCUCAUGGUUUCUUCUUCAGUUCGCAGUGUGUGUAAAUACUAGAGAGCUAUCUAUGGGCCUUUUUUUCUAUUUUCAAUUUCUAAUUUAACCUUUCUUUGAUCAGCAAUACCUCUUAUGGCUACAAUGUUUUAAAUGUAUGGAGGUGUAAUUUCCAGCUAUAAUAUGGGAAAUAUUACAUGUCCACCCUUCUGUUGUUGGUUGAACUGUGCUAUAUGAAUCAGCUCAAGCAGGCGCUAACUGCGGCCUCAGGGUCCUCAGGCAGCUAAUGGAAGCCUAUUCUUUGGUUUGAUUUUUGUUUUGUUUGGCUUGGUCUUUGGUUUUUCGAGUCAGGGUCUCUCUGUGUGGCCCUAGCUGUCCUGGAACAUGCUUUGUAGAUCACGGUGGCCUCGAACUCACAGAGAUCUGCCUGCCUGUGCCUCUUGAGUUGCUGGGAUUAAAGACGUGAGUCACUGCUGCCUGACUUGGAAGGAUAUUCUUUAAAUUUAUAAAUAUAAUAGAUAAAGCCUGUUUUUCUUUCUUAUUCUGUGAGGUUUUGUCAAUGUAUUUGGAGAGGUGUUAUAGUUGUAUCUGAUUUAUAAUUGUGCCUUCCCACUCUGUCUUGAUGCUAUCAGGAACAUUUCCUUCAGUCUUCUAAUAUCUGUUGCCUUAAAUUUGAUUAUGUCUCACACUAUAAAGUCACUAUGAUUCUUUUAUGUCACUCCUUAAGCAGUUGUAUAUUGUAUUUCCUUCUAUUUACUGUCAAUGUAUUUAUAUUUUGAAUCUAUGGUGUGUCCUUUAUAGACAUUAUAAAGGUCCAUGUUCCUUUUUUGGUCCACUCAGACCAUCUUUCUUUGCUUUAUAAUCUCAGAAUUUCUUUUCAUUUGCCUUCCGUUUUACAGGUCAUUUCUACAGCUAUACCUAAACUGGUACCUAACUUCCCCAUUACAUGUUAUAUUUCAAUUUUCAUGCUUAUAUUUCCAGUAGUUCUAUAUUUAGUUUACUAUCUUUUCGUCUGUUCUUGAUAACCCUUUUUACUUACUAGUUUUUGUGACUGCCUUCUUUAGUUUUAAAAACAUUUUAUAGAUGAUUGAUACAGUGUCCAGCCCAUUGUGUCAGUACUAUCUGCAAGUGCCUGGGAAGAUGCUCUGUCAUUGAGUCAUAUCAUCAGACCACACAUCUUUGUAAAUUUACCUAAACUUCAUGUUUGUUUUACAACACUGAGUUUUCAGUCUUUUGUCCUCCAUGGUCCCACUGUGUAUGACUGCUACAGGAAUAAUAUAAUACACAUAUAUAAAAUAUACAUGCCUAUAUAUUAUAGGACAUAUGGCAUGGUGCUGGACACAUUAUUCAUCUGUUAUGCUAACUUGUUCAGAACCACACUGAAAGAGUUGCCCUUUAUCUGCAAACACUGGCAGGUGGAAAUGCAUGGAAAAGCUCCAGGACAGGAAACAAUGAAACUGAGUUAUGAGACUCACAGAGCAGACACUAUCAUUUCACCCUGUGAAAAAUUACACACACACACACACACACACACACAAAUACACAUACAUACACACAUCUACUAGGGGGAAACAAUGUUAUCUCAGGUACAUAUAUACACGCAGAGCACAUACAUGCAAGCACACAACAUGAACAUAUGCACACGCACAUAUACACAUGCACCAUCUUGUCCAUAUUUUAUAACAUGACUAAUAUAAUAAAAAUCCAGACCACUGAGUCAGUUGCAAUUUCCCUUUAUGAUGUCACCCAGUGUUUAAAUAUUCCUUCCUCCUGACUCUAACCAUUAGUAAUAUUUACUCUAAUUGUUCAUGUGUCUGUUUCAACCAUCAGACUGUAAAUUAUUUAAGAUCAGAGACUACAGCUUUUCAUCAGAACCUGGGAGAUUGUAUGUACUCAAUAAAUAUUUGUUAAAUUAAGACAUGGAUGUAAAUGAGUCAAUAGUUACAGUGCACAAACUCCAAGGGCACCCAUGCUUUUUUAGGCCUGUGUGCUUUCUCCCUGUUUCUUGGAGCACUCAAUAAGGGAGAUAUUUCCUUGCCUAAGGUGGAAGUGGUCAGUGCUGAUUGAGGAGAUGAGGCAACUAUAUGUGAGCCUUUGAUAUGUAUGAACCAUACUGUGGUAUCUGGAAGAAAAAUUAUUUUCCAAAGCAAGCUCCCAUUAUAAGUAAAGGAUCCAGAACCGCCGGCAACCCGAAGUUUGUGUGAGCACAGCUGAUUUGUCUAGUUGUCUUAGCCUAAACCUAGUGGGCUAUUCCAUACUCCUUGCCAAUCCUGUGUAGAUAAGUGAAAGAGCGCAGCUGCCUGCAGGCUUCUAGGGAAACUGCCUCUCUAGUCAAGAGGACUGGGUGACAGUGUUCCAGCUCCCAUGUACUGUGUCUUAUCUGGGUGCACACUCCUGACCCACAAUAGCUGCAUGUGUGUUUCAUAAGAAGUCAGGUGUCAGCUGGGCGUGGUGGCGCACACCUUUAAUCCCAGCACUUGGGAGGCAGAGGCAGGCGGAUUUCUGAGUUCAAGGCCAGCCUGGUCUACAGAGUGAGUUCCAGGACAGCCAGGGCUACACAAAGAAACCCUGUCUCGAAAAACAAAAAACAAAAAAAAAAAAAAGAGAAUUCUUAAAAAAAAAAAAAAAAAGAAGUCAGGUGUCUUAGGGUUUCAUUGCUGCAAAGGAACACCAUAAUCAAGGCAACUCUAACAUUAGGGCUGGCUUACAGUUUCAGAGGUUUAGUCCACCAUUAUUAUUUCACGGCUUGAAGCAUGGCACUGUGCAGUCAGACACAGUGCUGGAGGAGCUCCACAUCGUGAUCUGCAGGCAGCCAAGAGGAGACAGUCAUCUGCACUGGGUGGAGCCUGAGCAUAAGAGGAGACCUCCAAGCCUAUCCCCACAGUGACACACUUCCUCCAACAAGGCCACACCUCCUAGUAGUGCCACUCCCUAUGGGCCAAGCAUUCACACACAUGAAUGUAUAGGGGCCACCUACUCAAACUGCCACACUAGGUGAGCAGAUGGAACAGGAAAAGUGCCUACCUUGGUGACAGCCUUGUAAGGCUGCCCAGCUUUCCUCUUCUGUGAGAUAAUACAUUUUCUGAGCUAGGUGUGGGGACAUAAGCCUCUAGUCCUAGGUACAUGGAUGAUUGAGGCAGGUAAACUAUUUGAGUCCAUGUGUCCAAGACCAGCUGUUGGGAGCCGCGCCCACAUUCGCCGUUACAAGAUGGCGCUGACAGCUGUGUUCUAAGUGGUAAACAAAUAAUCUGCGCAUAUG